UUCCUGGUGCCUAUGGCUCAGUGGAACCACUCCGAUCCAUCUCGAACUCGGAAGUGAAACGCUGACACGGCGAAGAUACUUGGAGGGUAGCCUCCUGGGAAAAUAGCUCGGUGCCAGGUU
rnacentral:rRNA from 1 species